GGGGACGACAUGGUUUCGACGGGGGAAUGAGAUUCGUGGAUUGCAUGUCGAGGUUGCUUGGCCCCUCGUAAAAUAGCUUGGCACUAAACUUUUAAAUGCAGAUGAUUAUUCAUACGCAAUGGCUGCCUAGUAAGUAGCCACGUUCUCAGGGGACGCCGCCACCGCGGCUUUUGAGAGCGACGAUAAGGGUGGCUGGUCUCUUUUACUGUCUGAGUUUGAGAGAUGAGAUUUUCAGGCUGGCUGAGAAACGGAUUUGUUUGUUGGACCGUGAUCAGUGAGAAUGAUCAAUAAACUAAGCAUGUAGAUGUCUGCGGCGCUUGUCCUUCGGACGCGGGUUCGAUUCCCGCCGUCUCCAUUU
rnacentral:tmRNA from 1 species